ensembl:lncRNA
UAGCUGAUUGGGGGCUAGAUGAGAGUCUAGUCUGUAUUACAACAGUCAAUGCCGCGAACAUGGUGAACGCUGCAGCCCUGAACAAGUGGACCAGAUUGCAUAUGAAUAGUGAGCAAUACAUCCAAACUAUAUGAAUGCUUUAAUAAACAAGAAACUGAAACACAUAAUUAAAAAAAACUGUUACCUGGUUGAAUAUAUCACUGAAGUCUGAGAAGUGGUUGUUGUGGCAGACACUGUGGGUGUAGUGGCUGUGACUGUUGCUGGAACAGCUGUGGUUGCUGUGGGAGAACCUUUAGUUGUGGCAGCUUUUGUGUUGCUGGGAGUACCUGUAAUUGUUGAUACAGCAGCUUUUGAUGUGGUGGGACCAGAUGUGUUAGUCAUGUGAGCAGGUGAAGUUGUUGUUUUUGUAUAAACAAGACCUGUUGUGGAAACAGCUGGAUUUGUGGGGUGUGCUGCAGUUGUGGUGACAGCAGCUUUUUCUGUGGUGGGACCAGAUGUGUUAGUCAUGUGAGCAGGUGAAGUUGUUGUUUGUGUAAAAACAAGACCUGUUGUGGAAACAGCUGGAUUUGUGGGAUGUGCUGCAGUUGUUGUGACAGCAGCUUUUGCUGUGGUGGGACCAGAUGUGUUAGUCAUGUGAGCAGGUGAAAUUGUUGUUUUUGUUAAAACAAGACCUGUUGUGGAAACAGCUGGAUUUGUGGGAUGUGCUUCAGUUGUUGUGACAGCAGCUUUUGCUGUGGUGGGACCAGAUGUGUUAGUCAUGUGAGCAGGUGAAAUUGUUGUUUUUGUUAAAACAAGACCUGUUGUGGAAACAGCUGGAUUUGUGGGAUGUGCUGCAGUUGUUGUGACAGCAGCUUUUGCUGUGGUGGGACCAGAUGUGUUAGUCAUGUGAGCAGGUGAAGUUGUUGUUUUUGUUAAAACAAGACCUGUUGUGGAAACAGCUGGAUUUGUGGGGUGUGCUGCAGUUGUUGUGACAGCAGCUUUUGAUGGAGUAACAAAGGUAGACAUGUCUGAAGGUGAGGAUGAUGCAGCAGCAACUGUUUUUGUGGGAAUAACAACAUUUGUUGUGACAUCAGGCAAUGUUUUUGAUGCAACGUAUGUUGCUGUAGGAGUUGCUGAAAUUCUUCUGACUGUAGCUGUUGUUGUGGUGGGACCAGAAGUGGAGGUCAUGUCAGCAGGCGAGGUUGUUAUUAUUGUGAAAUCUGUUGUAACAAACGCUGAUGUUGUUGUAGCAGUUCUGGUCGUUGUGUGAGCAUAUAUGGUUGCUGUCGAAGAACCUGUUGUUGUGGUAGCUUUUGUGUUAGUGGGAGUUUCUGAAACUGCUGUGACAUCAAGUGAUGUAGUUGUUGGAACAGCUGGUGUUGUGGGGGUUUCUAAAACUGUUGUGACAGCAGCUCUUGAUGUUGUGGGACCAUAUAUGUUUUGUAUGUGAGCGGUUGAGUUUGUGGUGGCAGCAAAUGUGGUUGGUGUAUCAGAUUCUUUUGUUGUUGUUGGAGCUGUGGUGCUCGUUAUAGGAUGAGAUGUGGUUGCUGUUGGAGAGCCAGUUUUUGAGGUAGCUCCUGUGUUGAAGGGAGAAGUUGACAUUGAUGUGAGAUAAGGUGAUGUUGUUGUUGAAACCAAUGUUGUUAUGGGAGUGGUUUUAAUUGUUGUGACAGCAGCUGAUGUUAUUGUUGCGACAACUGGUGUUGUGGAGGUUUUUGAAUUUUUUGUGACAGCGGCUGUUGAUGCCGAGGAUCCAGAUGUGUUAUGAAUGUAAGAAGGUGAGCUUGUUGUGGCAGUAACAGUUGUUAUUCUUGCUGUUGUUGUUUUUGUUCCAGACUCUUUUGUUGUUGAUGUUGGAGCAGUUGUAGUUGUUGUGGAUACAGAUGUGAUUGCUGUGGAAGAACCUGUUUUUGUGAUAGCUCCUGUGUUGAUGGGGGUAGUUGACAUUGAUGUGAGAUCAGGUGAUGUUGUUUUUGGAACAGUUGGUGUUGUGGGGGUUGAUGAAAUUGUUGUGACAGCUGCUGUUGGUGUUGUGGGACCAGAUGUGGUAGAUAUGUUAGCAGGAGAGGUUGUUGUGGCAGCAACUGUUGUUGUUAGUCCAGACUCUGUUGUUGUGGGAGUAGCAGAAAUUGUUGUGACAUCAAGUGAUGUUGUUGUUCCAGCAGAUGUUGUUGUGUGAUUUGCUGAAAUUGUUGUGACAGCAGCUGAUGUGGUUAUGGGACCAGAUGUGGUAGUCAUAUCAGCAGGUGUGGUUGCUGUUUCUGUAAAAACUGUUGUUCCCAACGUUGUUGUUGUUGGUAGAGCUGUUGUGGUCAUUGAGGGAACAGAUGUGGUUUCUGUUGGAGAACCUGUUGUUGUGGUAGCCCCUGUGUUGAUGGGUGUAG